CCAAGUUUUUAAGGGCGCACGGUGGAUGCCUUGGCACCAGGAACCGAUGAAGGACGUGGGAGGCCACGAUAGUCCCCGGGGAGUCGUCAACCAGGCUUUGAUCCGGGGGUUUCCGAAUGGGGAAACCCGGCAGUCGUCAUGGGCUGUCACCCUUGCCUGAACACAUAGGGCAAGUGGAGGGAACGCGGGGAAGUGAAACAUCUCAGUACCCGCAGGAAGAGAAAACAACCGUGAUUCCGGGAGUAGUGGCGAGCGAAACCGGAUGAGGCCAAACCGUAUGCGUGUGAGACCCGGCAGGGGUUGCGUAUACGGGGUUGUGGGAUCUCUCUUUUACAGUCUGCCGGCUGUGAGACGAGUCAGAAACCGUUGAUGUAGGCGAAGGACAUGCGAAAGGUCCGGCGUAGAGGGUAAGACCCCCGUAGCUGAAACAUUGACGGCUCGUUUGAGAGACACCCAAGUAGCACGGGGCCCGAGAAAUCCCGUGUGAAUCUGGCGGGACCACCCGCUAAGCCUAAAUAUUCCCUGGUGACCGAUAGCGGAUAGUACCGUGAGGGAAUGGUGAAAAGUACCGCGGGAGCGGAGUGAAAUAGUACCUGAAACCGUGUGCCUACAAGCCGUGGGAGCGUCGCGCAUCGAGUUUACUCGGUGCGUCGUGACUGCGUGCCUUUUGAAGAAUGAGCCUGCGAGUUUGCGGUGUGUUGCGAGGUUAACCCGAGUGGGGUAGCCGUAGCGAAAGCGAGUCCGAACAGGGCGAUUUUAGUAGCACGCUCAAGACCCGAAGCGGAGUGAUCUAGCCAUGGGCAGGUUGAAGCGGAGGUAAGACUUCGUGGAGGACCGAACCCACCAGGGUUGAAAACCUGGGGGAUGACCUGUGGUUAGGGGUGAAAGGCCAAUCAAACUCCGUGAUAGCUGGUUCUCCCCGAAAUGCAUUUAGGUGCAGCGUCGUGUGUUUCUUGCCGGAGGUAGAGCACUGGAUAGGCGAUGGGCCCUACCGGGUUACUGACCUUAGCCAAACUCCGAAUGCCGGUAAGUGAGAGCACGGCAGUGAGACUGUGGGGGAUAAGCUCCAUGGUCGAGAGGGAAACAGCCCAGAGCAUCGACUAAGGCCCCUAAGCGUACGCUAAGUGGGAAAGGAUGUGGAGUCGCACAGACAACCAGGAGGUUGGCUUAGAAGCAGCCACCCUUGAAAGAGUGCGUAAUAGCUCACUGGUCUAGUGAUUCCGCGCCGACAAUGUAGCGGGGCUCAAGCGUACCGCCGAAGUCGUGUCAUUCCAGCAUAUAGGGCCAACGCCUGCUGGGAUGGGUAGGGGAGCGUCGUGUGCCGGGUGAAGCAGCCGCGGAAGCGAGUUGUGGACGGUUCACGAGUGAGAAUGCAGGCAUGAGUAGCGAUACACACGUGAGAAACGUGUGCGCCGAUUGACCAAGGGUUCCUGGGUCAAGCUGAUCUGCCCAGGGUAAGUCGGGACCUAAGGCGAGGCCGACAGGCGUAGUCGAUGGAUAACCGGUUGAUAUUCCGGUACCCGCUGUGAAGCGUCAAACACUGAACCAGGCGAUGCUAAGUCCGUGAAGCCGUUCCGGACCCUUCGGGGAAAGGAAAGUGGUGGAGCCGACGGACCAGACUUGUAGUAGGUGAGUGAUGGGGUGACGCAGGAAGGUAGUCCAUCCCGGGCGGUGGUUGUCCCGGGGUAAGGGUGUAGGCCGUGCGAUAGGUAAAUCCGUCGCACGUGUGGCUGAGACCUGAUGCCGAGCCGAUUGUGGUGAAGUGGAUGAUCCUAUGCUGUCGAGAAAAGCCUCUAGCGAGUUUCAUGGCGGCCCGUACCCUAAACCGACUCAGGUGGUCAGGUAGAGAAUACCGAGGCGUUCGGGUGAACUAUGGUUAAGGAACUCGGCAAAAUGCCCCCGUAACUUCGGGAGAAGGGGGGCCAUCACCGGUGAUAGCACUUGCUGCUUGAGCUGGGGGUGGCCGCAGAGACCAGCGAGAAGCGACUGUUUACUAAAAACACAGGUCCGUGCGAAGCCGUAAGGCGAUGUAUACGGACUGACGCCUGCCCGGUGCUGGAACGUUAAGGGGACCGGUUAGUCACAUUUCGGUGUGGCGAAGCUGAGAACUUAAGCGCCAGUAAACGGCGGUGGUAACUAUAACCAUCCUAAGGUAGCGAAAUUCCUUGUCGGGUAAGUUCCGACCUGCACGAAUGGCGUAACGACUUCUCGACUGUCUCAACCAUAGGCCCGGUGAAAUUGCACUACGAGUAAAGAUGCUCGUUUCGCGCAGCAGGACGGAAAGACCCCGGGACCUUUACUACAGUUUGAUAUUGGUGUUCGGUUCGGCUUGUGUAGGAUAGCUGGGAGACUUUGAAGCUCGGACGCCAGUUCGGGUGGAGUCGUCGUUGAAAUACCAGUCUGGUCGUGCUGGAUGUCUAACCUGGGUCCGUGAUCCGGAUCAGGGACAGUGUCUGAUGGGUAGUUUAACUGGGGCGGUUGCCUCCUAAAGAGUAACGGAGGCGCCCAAAGGUUCCCUCAGCCUGGUUGGCAAUCAGGUGGUGAGUGUAAGUGCACAAGGGAGCUUGACUGUGAGACCGACGGGUCGAGCAGGGACGAAAGUCGGGACUAGUGAUCCGGCGGUGGCUUGUGGAAGCGCCGUCGCUCAACGGAUAAAAGGUACCCCGGGGAUAACAGGCUGAUCUUCCCCAAGAGUCCAUAUCGACGGGAUGGUUUGGCACCUCGAUGUCGGCUCGUCGCAUCCUGGGGCUGGAGUCGGUCCCAAGGGUUGGGCUGUUCGCCCAUUAAAGCGGUACGCGAGCUGGGUUUAGAACGUCGUGAGACAGUUCGGUCCCUAUCCGCUGCGCGCGCAGGAAUAUUGAGAAGGGCUGUCCCUAGUACGAGAGGACCGGGACGGACGAACCUCUGGUGUGCCAGUUGUCCUGCCAAGGGCAUGGCUGGUUGGCUACGUUCGGGAGGGAUAACCGCUGAAAGCAUCUAAGCGGGAAGCCUGCUUCGAGAUGAGUAUUCCCACCCACUUGAUGGGGUAAGGCUCCCAGUAGACGACUGGGUUGAUAGGCCAGAUAUGGAAGCCUGGUAACGGGUGGAGUUGACUGGUACUAAUAGGCCGAGGGCUUGUCCUC
rnacentral:rRNA from 1 species